rnacentral:rRNA from 1 species
UCAGGACGAACGCUGGCGGCGUGCCUAAUACAUGCAAGUCGAGCGGACAGAUGGGAGCUUGCUCCCUGAUGUUAGCGGCGGACGGGUGAGUAACACGUGGGUAACCUGCCUGUAAGACUGGGAUAACUCCGGGAAACCGGGGCUAAUACCGGAUGGUUGUCUGAACCGCAUGGUUCAGACAUAAAAGGUGGCUUCGGCUACCACUUACAGAUGGACCCGCGGCGCAUUAGCUAGUUGGUGAGGUAACGGCUCACCAAGGCGACGAUGCGUAGCCGACCUGAGAGGGUGAUCGGCCACACUGGGACUGAGACACGGCCCAGACUCCUACGGGAGGCAGCAGUAGGGAAUCUUCCGCAAUGGACGAAAGUCUGACGGAGCAACGCCGCGUGAGUGAUGAAGGUUUUCGGAUCGUAAAGCUCUGUUGUUAGGGAAGAACAAGUGCCGUUCAAAUAGGGCGGCACCUUGACGGUACCUAACCAGAAAGCCACGGCUAACUACGUGCCAGCAGCCGCGGUAAUACGUAGGUGGCAAGCGUUGUCCGGAAUUAUUGGGCGUAAAGGGCUCGCAGGCGGUUUCUUAAGUCUGAUGUGAAAGCCCCCGGCUCAACCGGGGAGGGUCAUUGGAAACUGGGGAACUUGAGUGCAGAAGAGGAGAGUGGAAUUCCACGUGUAGCGGUGAAAUGCGUAGAGAUGUGGAGGAACACCAGUGGCGAAGGCGACUCUCUGGUCUGUAACUGAC